CAGGUGCUGUAUUCAGCUGACAUGAUGCUGCUCAUCUUCAUCUUCAGCUGUGUGGGUGGAGCAGCAGCAGAGGUGGAGGCUGAGGAUGGUGUGGAUGAUCAGGAGCUUCACUCUGAGUCCUGACCUCCUCCUUGUGCUUCAGUGACUUCUGGCUCCAUGAUUUGGUCACCAUGGCAACCAGCUGGAUGAUUGGAGUCCCUCCUCUCACUUUCUGAGAGUAUCUUCACUCCACAUGUAGAGUUGGCUCCACUACCCUGAAGGCUGAACUUUCUUUGCAUUAGCUGGCUCAUAAAACCUCAGUCAGAUAUAAACUUCACAAACACCUGGCAGGAGUUUGUGGAGGACCUGAGCUUCCUCCUCUCCCUGGGAAUCGUCUACUACGUCAGUGAGGUCCUGCCUUUCUCAGGGUGGAGGCAGUAAAAUAAAUGAAGAUCCUAGUGUAGAACAAAAACCCUGUUUGAUCUGUUACAAGCUUUAUAUUGCUGAUGUUUUGUAUCUUUGAUUUUCAUUGUUUUCUCCCCACUUGUUAUUUACUCAAAUGUUUUUGGUAUGAACUUUUUUUUUUUCCUUGUUGUCUUGAUUUUACACAAAUACCUGCAGCUGUUGUUUAAAAAUGUCUCACUAUGUGCAAUAAAUGAAUAAAAUCUCUUAAUGACUGUAAUCUUCAUCAGGUUAGAGUGUCAGUUUGUUAUUAUCUCAACUUUAUUGGCA